rnacentral:misc_RNA from 1 species
UACGGAGGGUGCGAGCGUUAAUCGGAAUUACUGGGCGUAAAGCGCACGUAGGCGGCGUAUCCAGUCAGGGGUGAAAGGCCUGGGCUCAACCUGGGAACUGCAUCCGAAACUGGCAGGCUAGAGUCUUGUAGAGGGGGGUAGAAUUCCAGGUGUAGCGGUGAAAUGCGUAGAGAUCUGGAGGAAUACCGGUGGCGAAGGCGGCCCCCUGGACAAAGACUGACGCUCAGGUGCGAAAGCGUGGGGAGCAAACAGG